GUUUACGGCCAUACCGCCCUCAACAGGCCCCAUCCCAUUUGAUCUCAGAAGCUGAGGAGGGUCCGGCCUGGUUAGUACCUGGAUGGGAGACCACCUAGGAAGACCAGGUGCUGUAGGAG
rnacentral:rRNA from 1 species